rnacentral:RNase_P_RNA from 1 species
GGAGCCGGCCAGGCAAUCGCGUUGCGGUUAAACGCACCGAGGAAAGUCCGGGCUUCGCAGGGCAGGGUGCCAGGUAACGCCUGGGGGGCGUGAGCCCACGGAAAGUGCAACAGAAAAGAUACCGCCCGCUCCUUGGAGCAGGUAAGGGUGAAAUGGUGCGGUAAGAGCGCACCGCGCAGGUGGCAACACGCUGCGGCAAGGUAAACCCCACCCGAAGCAAGACCAAAUAGGAAGGCUUAAUCGUGGCCCGCGAUGCCUUCGGGUAGGUCGCUCGAGACUGCUGGUGACAGCAGAUCCAGAUGAAUGAUUGUCCCAGACAGAACCCGGCUUAUCGGCCGGCUCCAACA